CACGUAGGUGGCAAGCGUUGUCCGGAAUUAUUGGGCGUAAAGCGCGCGCAGGUGGUUUCUUAAGUCUGAUGUGAAAGCCCACGGCUCAACCGUGGAGGGUCAUUGGAAACUGGGGAACUUGAGUGCAGGAGAGAAGAGUGGAAUUCCACGUGUAGCGGUGAAAUGCGUAGAGAUGUGGAGGAACACCAGUGGCGAAGGCGACUCUUUGGCCUGUAACUGACACUGAGGCGCGAAAGCGUGGGGAGCAAACAGG
rnacentral:rRNA from 1 species